AGUGAGCCCGUGCGGCGGCCGACCACAUCGCGGAGCAGAAAGUUGCAGCCGGCCGGCCCCCUCACACACAUACACACGCCCACCACUCUUCAUAAACACACACGUUCUAGAUACACGUCGCUACACACACACACACACACACACACACACGCACGGCGUAGCCCGCGGGACGGUUUGUCAGCCCUCCCGCGUCCGAGCACGCGGCACAUCAAGACGCUCAUGAAUCGCUCAGCAUCGCCCCCGCCGGCAUCGCCUUCGCCGGCGUCGCCGUCACCUUCGACGAUGCACAUCAUCACUGUCGCGCUGUGCGCGAGCUCCAAGAAGCAUCAGCAGUCCUUCGACGCGCUACGAGAGGCAGGGAAGCUGCACAAUGAGCACCUUCUCCAGAUGCGGCAGCACUCGGCGGCGAGGCAAGCUGGUUGCGGCGACGUUAGCGGCGAGGCAGGUGAAGCAAGCACAGCGGCGCAGCAGGAGGGCUGCGCCAGUGGCAACCGUGGCAUGAACUCGCAUUCCAGGAGCCGUAGGACAAGUCGCGCGACUUCCGAAGUCCUGGCGCACCCUGCGCGGAGUCGCAGCACGACCGAGGGCUCGCUGUCUUGCUCCGCCUUGAACAACUGCCUCUUCCGCUUUCUCAGCUUGAACUACGAUGCCCAGCGGCAUCGCAUGGUCCUGUGUAUCGACGGCGACAUGAAAGAAACGCACCAGUCCUCCGCUGCCGCCUUCGCGCAGGAAGGCAGUAAGGCCAGUGCAGAGCAGAGCCCCCGCGUAGACGCGCACGCGGGGACGGACGAAGCGGUCAGAGACGAGGACGAGCCGUCUCAAAGUGCGCUCAUGGACGAGGUGGAUGUGGUGCUGCACAAGGUGGCCACGUUUGGCACCCCGGUUGCCAUUCGUGCGCUUCAUCAGUGGUACAAGGGUGCGCAGAAGCGGCGAAGUCGCCGGCGCAGGGCGCCCCUCAUCGUGGUCGACCCCCUCGAAAAGGUUCAGCUGCUCAUGACGCGUAGUAUGCUGUGCAAGCUAUUGAACAACGUGGGCGAUGACGGGCAGCCCAUCGCGCUGACACCGCGCACAUUCAUGUGGGACUGCCCGCCCGACGCAGCCUGUCGCCACGCCAGGCGCACGAACGGGUCCAGCGCAGCCACUCCGCUCGGCAUCCACUCUUUCACGUCGAUAGAGGAGCAGAAGGAGGCGCGCGCGAACGGGACGGCGGCGGAACACUGGUGGAUCGCGAAGCCGGACGAGAGUACUGGUCCCGCCUUCACUCACCACCUGGUGAUGUGGCUCACGCGCGACGCCGAUGUCUCGGUGCCGGCAGCGGUGAAGGCUGCCCUCCCGACAGAGGCCUGUCGCUUCAUUCUGCAGGAGCUGUACGUGUACGCGCUCCCAGUGGUGCUGAAGGUGUACUGUGUCGGCUCGCACAUCAGCGUGAAGGUGAAUCCCACCGUGAGCCUGCUGAACUACCUCUGGGAGCACACACGCGGCUCGACUGUGGCAGAUGUACCAGUGGCAAUGGACUCGCAGGACAAGGCAUUCUUCUCGACCGUGGCCAGCGCCUCCACCUCCAGGUCGCAGCCUACGUUGUCUGCCAUGGCCAGUAGCACCGACGACGGUGCGCCGCCCGCCACAUCGCCAACGAUGAACGCGACCAACGCGGCCGGUGCCCCUCCGUCGCCUACGGAGCUGCCGCAGGGGACGUCGAGCGAAAGUGCCAGCGCUGAACAGUCGCUUAUUGCAUGGGAGUCGAUGGUUGUGCCGGCGGACAACUGGAACGCGUUCUUGGCCCCGGGCACUCCCGCCUACACCGCCAUCAGCAAACUGGCGCAGGACCUCUCUGGGGACGCCGGCAUUGGUCUCUCCCUGUACGGUUUCGAUAUAGUGCUCGUGCCGCAAUAUCUAGCACACACGUACCAGCGCAAGGGCGCGCGCGGCAUCGGGCGCACUGAAGGCGCAACCGUGCGGUACGAGGGGGCAGCGCCGUCGCUGUCGAAGGUGGCCCACCGCAGUGCCGACACCGCAGAGCCGGUGCAGCGGCUCCCUGCGAGCCAUAGCAUGCGCAAGCUACCGGGUGCCGGUGCCUCAGCACCGCCAAGUCCGGUGUCGCGGCUGUUUCGCGCCAGCGACAUGUUCGACCCCGCCUCCGGCGCGCCGACGUCGCUCUUGUUGGACAGCAUCCCAGUAGUCAUCGAUGUGAACUACUUCCCUGGUUACAAGGGAGUCGCCGAAGUGAACCAGCACAUGCUGGAGCUGAUCGCGCUCAAGUGCAUGCACUUGCAAGAUGGCUCAUCUAGCCGGACGUGGCACGCCGACACGGCGACUGGGGCAGGUGCGAAGAAGCGGCGGUGCUCGAUGAUGUAGCACAGGUGCCGCCAUGCUGCGAGCGAAAACGAAAUCGGAGCGCUGGCCGCGGGGCGUCUCCGGGUCGACUCAGGUAAAUGAGCUGUCAGGGGUCGUGGCGUCGUUGGCGAUGGUGACGUGCCGUGUUCCGCACGGCGGUCUGUGAGCGGGUGCAUGUGUUUUCCUCUCCGUUUUUUGCUUCUCUAUGUGCUCGUUCGCUACGGCGCGCCUUGCGUUUGGCACUGUGCCUCCCGCCAGCCACCCUUGGCGCACGCAC
rnacentral:misc_RNA from 1 species